UACGAAGGGUGCAAGCGUUGUUCGGAUUUAUUGGGCGUAAAGCGCGCGCAGGCGGACGGGCAAGUCAGAUGUGAAAUCUCGGGGCUCAACCCCGAAACUGCGUCUGAAACUAUCUGUCUAGAGUGUUGGAGAGGGUAGGGGAAUUUCUCAUGUAGGGGUAAAAUCCGUAGAGAUGAGAAGGAACACCAGAGGCGAAGGCGCCUACCUGGCCAACUACUGACGCUGAGGCGCGAAAGCGUGGGGAGCAAACAGGAUUAGAUACCCCU
rnacentral:rRNA from 1 species